rnacentral:rRNA from 1 species
GGAGUUAGCCGGUGCUUCUUCUGCGAGUAACGUCACAGAUGUAAGGUAUUAACUUACACCCUUUCCUCCUCGCUGAAAGUGCUUUACAACCCGAAGGCCUUCUUCACACACGCGGCAUGGCUGCAUCAGGGUUUCCCCCAUUGUGCAAUAUUCCCCACUGCUGCCUCCCGUAGGAGUCUGGGCCGUGUCUCAGUCCCAGUGUGGCUGAUCAUCCUCUCAGACCAGCUAGGGAUCGUCGCCUAGGUGAGCCUUUACCUCACCUACUAGCUAAUCCCACCUGGGCUUAUCCAUCAGCGCAAGGCCCGAAGGUCCCCCUGCUUUCCCCCGUAGGGCGUAUGCGGUAUUAGCAGUCGUUUCCAACUGUUAUCCCCCACAAAUGGGCAAAUUCCCAGGCAUUACUCACCCGUCCGCCGCUCGUCAUCUUCAAAAGCAAAGCUUUUGAAAUGUUACCGCUCGACUUGCAUGUGUUAGGCCUGCCGCCAGCGUUCAAUCUGAGCCAGGAUCAAAACUCUGA